GACGAACGCUGGCGGCGUGCUUAACACAUGCAAGUCGAACGGAAAGGUCCUGCUUUUGUGGGGUGGUCGAGUGGCGAACGGGUGAGUAACACGUGAGUAACCUGUCACUGACUUUGGGAUAACUUCAGGAAACUGGGUCUAAUACCGGAUAGGAGCUCCCGCUGCAUGGUGGGGGUUGGAAAGUUUCGGCGGUUGGGGAUGGACUCGCGGCUCAUCAGCUUGUUGGGGUGGUAGUGGCUUACCAAGGCUUUGACGGGUAGCCGGCCUGGGUGGGUGACCGGCCACGUUGCGACGGAGAUGCGACCCAGACUCCUCCGGUAGGCGGCAGAGGCGAAGAUUGUACAAUAGACGGAGGCCAAGUGCGACAACGCCGCGUGGGGGGUGACGUCCUGCGGUUUGUAUGCCGCUUUCGUCUGUGCCGCGACGUGAGUGACGGUAAUGGGUAAAGAAGCACCGGCUAACUACGUG
rnacentral:rRNA from 1 species